AAGUCCCGUAACGAGCGCAACCCUUGUCCGUAGUUGCCAUCAUUUAGUUGGGAACUCUACGGAGACCGCCGGUGACAAACCGGAGGAAGGUGGGGAUGACGUCAAGUCAUCAUGGCCCUUAUGACCAGGGCUACACACGUGCUACAAUGGCCGGUACAAAGGGCUGCCAACCCGCGAGGGGGAGCCAAUCCCAGAAAGCCGGUCGUAGUCCGGAUCGGAGUCUGCAACUCGACUCCGUGAAGUCGGAAUCGCUAGUAAUCGCGAAUCAGCAACGUCGCGGUGAAUACGUUCCCGGGUCUUGUACACACCGCCCGU
rnacentral:rRNA from 1 species